rnacentral:lncRNA from 1 species
AUCUUGGCUUUCUGUUUUAUAUAGCUCAUUCAACUGAUUCUGAAUCAUCUUUCACUACCAGACCUGUGUAGAUUAGCCCAGACUUGCAGGCUUCUCCACCAGCAUUGCUGUGAUCCUCUGCAAUAUAUCCACCUCAACCUGCAGCCAUACUGGGCCCGGCUGGACGACACGUCACUGGAGUUCCUACAGGCUCGCUGUGUGCUUGUCCAGUGGCUUAAUCUGUCUUGGACUGGCAACAGAGGGUUCAUCUCUGUAUCAGGAUUUAGCAGGUUUCUAAAGGUGUGUGGGUCUGAGUUAGUACGCCUUGAGUUAUCCUGCAGCCACUUUCUUAAUGACACUUGCUUGGAGGUUAUUUCUGAAAUGUGCCCAAAUCUACAAGACUUAAAUCUCUCAUCCUGCGAUAAACUCCCACCUCAGGCUUUUGGCCAUAUUGCCAAGUUAUGCAGCCUCAAGAGGCUUGUUCUCUAUCGGACAAAAGUAGAGGUAAGAAUAACUCAUAUGUGUUUUUCUUAAUAAAAUAUCUGGCUGAAUAGUUAAUUGCUUUCAAAUAUUAUUGUGAUUUCUCAUUUUAAAACAGAGGUUGUGACAUCAUGUGUACACUCCAAAAUAAUUAAAGCAUCUUUAGUCACUUCAGAGUAAUAAACUUUUAAAUGAUGUUCCUGAUCCCUGGGAAAGAAAUGUGUAGGGUGGGACAGUGAGCCAAGUGCUGGCAGAGAGAGACGUAGAGGAAGGAGUGGGAGCUGCUGACAUGCAGGAGGAUUUUCACUU